UUAACUCUUAACUGAAGUGAAAAAAAAAAAAAAAAAAAAAAAAGAAAUCUGUUCUUAUCAGUUUAAUAUCUGAUACGCGCCCUAUCUGGGUGCCAUAUAUUAAAUGGAUUUUUGAAACAGGGAGAUGGAAGAAGAGCUUGCUCUGUCCACUUCACGCAUUGACCUGGUAUUGCAGUACCUCCAGGACCGGUGCACCCCUC